CCCUUAGAUGUCCGGGGCCGCACGCGCGCUACAAUGGAUGAAUCAACGCGUCAUCCUGGCCCGAAAGGGUUGGGGAACCGCUGAACCUCAUCCGUGGUUGGGAUUGGGGUUUGUAAUUAUUCCCCAUGAACUAGGAAUUCCCAGUAAGCGCGAGUCAUAAGCUCGCGUUGAUUACGUCCCUGCCCUUUGUACACACCGCCCGUCGCUACUACCGAUUGGAUGGUUUAGUGAGAUCCUCGGAUUGGUCACGGCACGGUGGCAACACUGCGUCGGUGUGCCGAGAAGACGAUCAAACUUGAUCAUCUAGAGGAAGGGGAAGUCGUAACA
rnacentral:rRNA from 1 species